UUGAACGCUGGCGGCAUGCCUUACACAUGCAAGUCGAACGGCAGCAUGAUCUAGCUUGCUAGAUUGAUGGCGAGUGGCGAACGGGUGAGUAAUACAUCGGAACGUGCCCUGUAGUGGGGGAUAACUAGUCGAAAGAUUAGCUAAUACCGCAUACGACCUGAGGGUGAAAGUGGGGGACCGCAAGGCCUCAUGCUAUAGGAGCGGCCGAUGUCUGAUUAGCUAGUUGGUGAGGUAAAGGCUCACCAAGGCGACGAUCAGUAGCUGGUCUGAGAGGACGAUCAGCCACACUGGGACUGAGACACGGCCCAGACUCCUACGGGAGGCAGCAGUGGGGAAUUUUGGACAAAGGGCGAAAGCCUGAUCCAGCAAUGCCGCGUGUGUGAAGAAGGCCUUCGGGUUGUAAAGCACUUUUGUCCGGAAAGAAAUGGCUCUGGUUAAUACCUGGGGUCGAUGACGGUACCGGAAGAAUAAGGACCGGCUAACUACGUG
rnacentral:rRNA from 1 species